rnacentral:rRNA from 1 species
UACGGGGGGGGCAAGCGUUGUUCGGAAUUACUGGGCGUAAAGGGCUCGUAGGUGGCCAACUAAGUCAGACGUGAAAUCCCUCAGCUUAACUGGGGAACUGCGUCUGAUACUGGAUGGCUUGAGUUUGGGAGAGGGACGCGGAAUUCCAGGUGUAGCGGUGAAAUGCGUAGAUAUCUGGAGGAACACCGGAGGCGAAGGCGGCGUCCUGGACCAACACUGACACUGAGGAGCGAAAGCCAGGGGAGCAAACGGG